rnacentral:rRNA from 1 species
GACGUAGGGCGCGAGCGUUGUCCGGAUUUAUUGGGCGUAAAGAGCUCGUAGGCGGUUUGUCGCGUCGGCCGUGAAAACUUGGGGCUUAACCCCGAGCCUGCGGUCGAUACGGGCAGACUUGAGUUCGGCAGGGGAGACUGGAAUUCCUGGUGUAGCGGUGAAAUGCGCAGAUAUCAGGAGGAACACCGGUGGCGAAGGCGGGUCUCUGGGCCGAUACUGACGCUGAGGAGCGAAAGCGUGGGGAGCGAACAGG